rnacentral:lncRNA from 1 species
CACCAGCCUUCAAGGCCAGCCACAAGCUCUAGCCAAAGACAGGACCAUGCCAGGGGUCCAAGGACUCAGCGCUAGCUCCAGGCACAGCUGAAGGCUCACCAGGGUAUCUGAAGGUAGAGAUGGGCAGAGAAGAGACCACAACCAGCAGGGGCCAUGUGGCUGAGAUGACACCCUGGGAGAUCUUCUCUUGGACCGUGGAUGUCACUGAACCAUGCAUCCACAUCCAGUCCUUGAUGCUCUGGGAGCCACACACAGUUUGUGAAGUCACUGCAAAGGAAGAGGUCCUCCCACUCCCCUGGGAACUGAACAAUAGAAGAAGCUAUUUUUGCAGCAAGAAGACUGCAAGGCAGACAGCAAAAAGAACUUCAGAAUGAUUAUUUGCAGAAAGAAGACCCACCCUAAAUCUGCGUCACAUCUCCUGGUGGCGGCCUUCGCGAAAGGACAUGGGAGAAGGAUGCGUCGCUUCCUGUCUGCUGCCCCCACUCUCACUGCCAAGUUUGUGUAUCUUGUUGCUGUGGCUGGCGGGAAAUCCAAUUUCUUCAGGAUUUCAGUGCACACUGAAGACCAGAAGCUCUCCAGGAUUCCUCCCAGUCUCCAGCAUGAGAAGGACUGCUGGGAUACCCAGCCUCCUGGACAGAGCUAAUACUGGAUUCUCCGUCUUUCCAUCAUUGAGACACUCGUCGUUGGACAACCUUAAGUCAGUCUAAU